GGAAAACUUUCUGCUGACGGCUUCUGGAAGUAAAUGUCUAUCCUGACAUUCUGAAGGAGACACAGAAAGAUGUGUUUGCACAGUCUGACUGCAUUAGAGAAGCAGUCAGAAGACCUCUCCAGCCUGGUCGGGGCUUUUGUUGGCCAUGGAGGUAUGGGGCUCUUUGUUAUCAGCAGAACAGUGGUGGGUAAACACAAGAUAAAGAGGCUGAGUGAGCCUCUGCCAUGUCUGUUUUCCAAUCUUGUCAGUUAGAAUGACUCCAGCCAUUAAGGCAGUUACCGCAACAUGCUGACAACAUGUACGGAUGCCACCUGGACCCAGAUGUGCCUCAGCGGUGGGUAAAUGGAGGGAAUGAUGAAGAGGAAGUUUAGGGGACAUGUCUGCGGCGGCAUAUGCCCAAACCUGUGCAUCCCAUUACUCUUCCUCUGCGAGUCCCUGCGUGUGAGCCCCAGACAAUACGCCAUUGUUUGGCUUCAUAAAGACGACACAAAAGCCACAAUAACAGGGGGGAAAAGUGGAAACGCUGCAAAGUCCUUGGCAACUACGCUGCGUGUUUCGCCACGCUCUUCCCGAUGUGCACAUGGAAUGGCUCACUCCACGAGGCCAGCGGGGGCUCGUUUCCCGUGGUGAGGCCACACGGGGAAAAUGCAAUUCCCUUCCUGUGGUCGGAUGCUGCCGGGCGCCCUGAUUAAGAGCCGAGGAUGCGACUGGCUUCCUGCCAGCAGCCUUGUUUAAGGUGAUCAGAAAGGCCGCCGUCACACUCACCCACACAAAGCGAGGCAAAUGAGCAGCACCGAGGAGGGAGGGGCGGGCAUCAAAUGGGUCUGGCGGAGUCCCCCCUCCCACCUCCUGUGCCCCCCCUACUGGGCAGUCGUGUUUGAUGGAGAAGGUAGGAUACAUUACUCACAAAGGGUCCAGCGUUUCCAAUCCCGCCUCGCUACAGGUAGUUUGACUGAUGACGCACCAAACGCCAUGAUCACAUACUGAUCAUGGCGCUCUCUGGGGGGUGGGGGUGGGGGUCCUAGCUGCAGGCGCACUUCACUGCCAUAACCCUUAACUGCACAGCUCCCCUCCCUUCUAACUACAGCUGGCCCGUGUUAUUAGUGGGCGACUUGUAAAUCUUUGGUGCGCCUUUGGGCGACGGUUAUGACCGGAUCCCGUUUCUCCCCUUCCUUUCCUGUUUCUCCUCCAACUUCUGACGGUUUUGAUCUGUUCUCCUGAAAUGAAUACAGCUCCCUAAUAAAAAAAACCAGUGGGGGGGUCACAAUAUUAGAUGGGGUUAAGAGUUCGUGGAGGAGUUUUGUACCACAGGAGGGUCGACUUGAUAUCAG
rnacentral:lncRNA from 1 species